rnacentral:misc_RNA from 1 species
UCAGACCGUUCUAGUGCUUUGUUGACUGUACAAACUCUUAUAUCGGAAUUGUCUUCAUUACAUUUGAGGGCUGAAAAACUUGAAGCUGCAUCUUCAAAGAUAUUUGGUGGUGACAGAUCAAGGAUUCGCAAAAUAGAGGAGUUGAAGGAAACCAUAAGAGUCACUGAGGAUGCGAAACAUGUUGCAACUGGAGAGUAUGAACGGAUCAAGGAGAAUAACAGAAAUGAACUUGAAAGGCUCGGCAGAGAAAGGCGUGCUGACUUCUUGAACAUGUUGAAGGGUUUUGUUCUUAAUCAGGUGGGAUAUGCUGAGAAGAUUGCAAAUGUAUGGGCAAAGGUUGCGG